UACAGAGGGUGCGAGCGUUAAUCGGAAUUACUGGGCGUAAAGCGUGCGUAGACGGCUAUCUAAGUCGGGUGUGAAAGCCCCGGGCUCAACCUGGGAAUUGCGUUCGAGACUGAAUAGCUAGGGUACGGUAGAGGGAAGCGGAAUUUCCGGUGUAGCGGUGAAAUGCGUAGAUAUCGGAAGGAACAUCAGUGGCGAAAGCGGCUUCUGGACCAGUACCGACGUCAGGCACGAAAGCGUGGGGAGCAAACAGGA
rnacentral:rRNA from 1 species